AACACGUGGGAACGUGCCUUUAGGUUCGGAAUAGCUCCUGGAAACGGGUGGUAAUGCCGAAUGUGCCCUUCGGGGGAAAGAUUUAUCGCCUUUAGAGCGGCCCGCGUCUGAUUAGCUAGUUGGUGAGGUAAUGGCUCACCAAGGCGACGAUCAGUAGCUGGUCUGAGAGGAUGACCAGCCACAUUGGGACUGAGACACGGCCCAAACUCCUACGGGAGGCAGCAGUGGGGAAUUUUGCGCAAUGGGCGAAAGCCUGACGCAGCCAUGCCGCGUGAAUGAUGAAGGUCUUAGGAUUGUAAAAUUCUUUCACCGGGGACGAUAAUGACGGUACCCGGAGAAGAAGCCCCGGCUAACUUCGUGCCAGCAGCCGCGGUAAUACGAAGGGGGCUAGCGUUGCUCGGAAUUACUGGGCGUAAAGGGCGCGUAGGCGGAUCGUUAAGUCAGAGGUGAAAUCCCGGAGCUCAACUUCGGAACUGCCUUUGAUACUGGCGAUCUUGAGUGUGAGAGAGGUAUGUGGAACUCCGAGUGUAGAGGUGAAAUUCGUAGAUAUUCGGAAG
rnacentral:rRNA from 1 species